UGUAAGCGUAUACCAAAGUUGUUGCAGUUAAAACGCUCGUAGUCGGAAUUUGGCAGUUCCGGAUGUGUGCGCGUCGUGUGCGCACUUCGCGGGGAUUGCUUUUGUGGUCUUGCGUAGGAUGAGGCACUUUUAUUAGUGAACGUCCUCACGCAACCACUUUUUACUGUGAGAAAAUCAGAGUGCUCAAAGCAGGCAUUUGCCGUGAAUGUAUUAGCAUGGAAUAAUAGAAUAGGACUCGGUUCUAUUUUGUUGGUUUGUUGGGACUGAGUAAUGAUUAAGAGGGACAGUUGGGGGCAUUUGUAUUUCGGCGCUAGAGGUGAAAUUCUUAGAUUGCCGAAAGACAAACUGCUGCGAAAGCGUCUGCCAAGGAUGUUUUCAUUGA
rnacentral:rRNA from 1 species